UUUAUGGAGAGUUUGAUCCUGGCUCAGGAUGAACGCUGGCGGCGUGCCUAAUACAUGCAAGUCGAGCGAACGGAUGAGAAGCUUGCUUCUCUGAUGUUAGCGGCGGACGGGUGAGUAACACGUGGAUAACCUACCUAUAAGACUGGGAUAACUUCGGGAAACCGGAGCUAAUACCGGAUAAUAUUUUGAA
rnacentral:rRNA from 1 species